UGGGAAUUUUGGACAAUGGGCGAAAGCCUGAUCCAGCAAUGCCGCGUGUGUGAAGAAGGCCUUCGGGUUGUAAAGCACUUUUGUCCGGAAAGAAAUGGCUCUGGUUAAUACCUGGGGUCGAUGACGGUACCGGAAGAAUAAGGACCGGCUAACUACGUGCCAGCAGCCGCGGUAAUACGUAGGGUCCAAGCGUUAAUCGGAAUUACUGGGCGUAAAGCGUGCGCAGGCGGUUGUGCAAGACCGAUGUGAAAUCCCCGAGCUUAACUUGGGAAUUGCAUUGGUGACUGCACGGCUAGAGUGUGUCAGAGGGGGGUAGAAUUCCACGUGUAGCAGUGAAAUGCGUAGAGAUGUGGAGGAAUACCGAUGGCGAAGGCAGCCCCCUGGGAUAACACUGACGCUCAUGCACGAAAGCGUGGGGAGCAAACAGG
rnacentral:rRNA from 1 species